AUGUGGUCAGUGUGGACAUCACGAAAUAAUAGAAUUCAUGGAGAUUCCUCAACUAAUCUAACUCAAGCUUGCAGGUGGGCGCGUACGGCAUCGGAUCUGAUGUUGAAUGCAAAACCACAAGGAGAAGGAACCAAAACUAAGACCAAGACAUACUGGCAACGUCCACAAGAAGGCUACUAUAAAAUUAAUGUAGACGCAACCUUCAAUUCAAAGGAUGAAAAAGGAGCUUCAGGGGUAAUAAUCAGAGACGAUGAUGGCACUGUAGUAGCAGCGAGCAGUAAAUGGUAUGAUUCAGUCCCUAAUGUUUUAACAGCAGAAGCUUUAGCUUGUAGAGAUGGAGCUAAGAUGAUGAAGAUUCUCAAUAUUCGGCAAGGAACAAUGGAGACCGAUUCUCAGGAGCUUGUGUCCUUUUGGAGUUCCAUAAAACAUCAUAGAGCUAGCAUCUUGUCAAUUAUCAAUGAAAUACAAGAGCUGGUAGAAGGAUGUAGUGGUUUUGAUAUUUAUCAUGUUAAGAGGGAGGCAAAUAUAGAAGCUCACAAAGUUGCCAAAUUUGCUACUGAAUCAAAUCCGGAGUGUGCCUGGAUACACCAGGUGCCGAAUAGCAUCCUUCUGUGUACUAGACAAGAUUGUAAUCAUGUUCCUAGUUAA
rnacentral:rRNA from 1 species